CUCCUACGGGAGGCAGCAGUAAGGAAUAUUGGUCAAUGGACGCAAGUCUGAACCAGCCAUGCCGCGUGGAGGAUGAAGGUCCUCUGGAUUGUAAACUUCUUUUAAUUUGGGAAGAAACCCACGAAUUUCUAUUGUGGUUGACGGUACCAGAUGAAUAAGCACCGGCUAACUCCGUGCCAGCAGCCGCGGUAAUAC
rnacentral:rRNA from 1 species